CUGAGGGUCCCGCUGUCCCCAGCUGGUCGGGCAGGUGCUGGUACAUCCAUGAGCUGCUCAGGUACGAGUUCAGCAUCGAGUUCGAGAUCCCGGUGACGUACCCGGGCACCGCCCCCGAAAUCGCCAUCCCCGAGCUGGACGGGAAAACCGCCAAGAUGUACCGGUGGGG